rnacentral:rRNA from 1 species
AUUGAACGCUGGCGGCAUGCCUUACACAUGCAAGUCGAACGGCAGCACGGGAGCAAUCCUGGUGGCGAGUGGCGAACGGGUGAGUAAUAUAUCGGAACGUGCCCAGUCGUGGGGAUAACGUAGCGAAAGCUACGCUAAUACCGCAUACGAUCUAUGGAUGAAAGCGGGGGAUCGCAAGACCUCGCGCGAUUGGAGCGGCCGAUAUCAGAUUAGGUAGUUGGUGAGGUAAAGGCUCACCAAGCCGACGAUCUGUAGCUGGUCUGAGAGGACGACCAGCCACACUGGGACUGAGACACGGCCCAGACUCCUACGGGAGGCAGCAGUGGGGAAUUUUGGACAAUGGGCGCAAGCCUGAUCCAGCAAUGCCGCGUGCAGGAUGAAGGCCUUCGGGUUGUAAACUGCUUUGUACGUACGAACGGUAGAGCUCUAAUACAGUUUGCUAAUGACGGUACCGUAAGAAUAAG